AACUGAAACAUCUAAGUACCUGGAGGAAGAGAAAGCAAAUGCGAUUUCCUGAGUAGCGGCGAGCGAAACGGAACAUAGCCCAAACCAAGAGGCUUGCCUCUUGGGGUUGUAGGACAUUCUAUACGGAGUUACAAAGGAACGAGGUAGACGAAGCGACCUGGAAAGGUCCGUCGUAGAGGGUAACAACCCCGUAGUCGAAACUUCGUUCUCUCUUGAAUGUAUCCUGAGUACGGCGGAACACGUGAAAUUCCGUCGGAAUCUGGGAGGACCAUCUCCCAAGGCUAAAUACUCCCUAGUGAUCGAUAGUGAACCAGUACCGUGAGGGAAAGGUGAAAAGCACCCCGGAAGGGGAGUGAAAGAGAUCCUGAAACCGUGUGCCUACAAAUAGUCAGAGCCCGUUAACGGGUGAUGGCGUGCCUUUUGUAGAAUGAACCGGCGAGUUACGAUCCCGUGCGAGGUUAAGCUGAAGAGGCGGAGCCGCAGCGAAAGCGAGUCUGAAUAGGGCGUUUAGUACGUGGUCGUAGACCCGAAACCAGGUGAUCUACCCAUGUCCAGGGUGAAGUUCAGGUAACACUGAAUGGAGGCCCGAACCCACGCACGUUGAAAAGUGCGGGGAUGAGGUGUGGGUAGCGGAGAAAUUCCAAUCGAACCUGGAGAUAGCUGGUUCUCCCCGAAAUAGCUUUAGGGCUAGCCUUAAGUGUAAGAGUCUUGGAGGUAGAGCACUGAUUGGACUAGGGGUCCUCAUCGGAUUACCGAAUUCAGUCAAACUCCGAAUGCCAAUGACUUAUCCUUAGGAGUCAGACUGCGAGUGAUAAGAUCCGUAGUCAAAAGGGAAACAGCCCAGACCGCCAGCUAAGGUCCCAAAGUGUGUAUUAAGUGGAAAAGGAUGUGGAGUUGCUUAGACAACUAGGAUGUUGGCUUAGAAGCAGCCACCAUUUAAAGAGUGCGUAAUAGCUCACUAGUCGAGUGACUCUGCGCCGAAAAUGUACCGGGGCUAAAUACACCACCGAAGCUGCGGAUUGAUACCAAUGGUAUCAGUGGUAGGGGAGCGUUCUAAGGACAGUGAAGUCAGACCGGAAGGACUGGUGGAGUGCUUAGAAGUGAGAAUGCCGGUAUGAGUAGCGAAAGACGGGUGAGAAUCCCGUCCACCGAAUGCCUAAGGUUUCCUGAGGAAGGCUCGUCCGCUCAGGGUUAGUCAGGACCUAAGCCGAGGCCGACAGGCGUAGGCGAUGGACAACAGGUUGAUAUUCCUGUACCACCUCUUUAUCGUUUGAGCAAUGGAGGGACGCAGAAGGAUA
rnacentral:rRNA from 1 species